rnacentral:misc_RNA from 1 species
GAUCACAGAUAGGCCUUCUGGGGGUCCACGAGGUGAUCGUCGUAUGGGUGGUAUUAUGGAUGAUGGUAAGUGGAAUAAAGCAGCUGGUUCUUUUGGUCCUGGUGUAGAUAUUGGUCAUGGACCCGGAGCAACAAAUUUCCGGCCUGGACAAGGUGGUAAUCAUGGUGUCUUAAGAAUUCCACGCGGGCAAGUUGGUGGUAUU